GUUUGUGUGCAUGGCAGAUGACAAUAGGGUCACUGGAGUGUCACCUAUGGCUGAUGAAUGGGAUAUGCUACCUCUGACUUCUUCAGUAUAUACCAGCCCAUUAUUCCGAAAAGGAUUUGAUCCUAUUAAUUUGCCUGGAUAUGGGGAUGUGAGUAAUAGUCAGGAUGGCACGUUUACUGGAUUAGUCAUGUCAGAUGGCUUUGUGUUCCCUCCAAGUGAGCAUGAGAAUUUGCCAAUUGAACCUGAGCAUGAGAUUUUGUCAGUAGAACCUGAGCAUGAUGAAUCAAAUACAAACAGCAAUGGUGAGGAAGGCAGAUGAGUAACGAUGAUGAGUGGUGCCAUGUAUCACCAGAAGAAGUUGAUGGCAUGAGUGAUGAGAAUCUAUCUGUCAACAGCGACUUGCCUGCUGCCAAUGAAUCUCCUUUACCAGAUUUCAAAUCCACAGAAACAAAUGCUAAACGAGAUAAAGAUCGCACAAUCUGCAAGGCUGAUAUUCCUUGUGAAGGAUGGUGGAAAAGGAAAUCCACUUAUAUGUUUCACCAUAUAAAGGGAGUGACUACAGUCUGCUCAGUUGUGGCAGCUGGUGCGGUUGUGGGUUUUGUUGUGAUGAGUCAGAGGUGGCAACAGGACCAUUUGCACCUUCAUCAAUUUCAGUUCAGUGUCAACGGUGAGAGCAUGAGCCGAGUCAUUGGAGCAUUCAGCCAUUUGAAGGGUGGGCUUCCAGGGAGUGAGCAGCUUAGGUCUCUGCUACCAACUCGCGUACUCCCGCAACAGCCGCUUAGCGCUUGAGCAUAACAGGUGCCGGAAUUCGGUGGCAGGGGCUGCUUCUAGUGGCAAUUUUUGUUGCUCAUAUGAUUUUGAGACACUGCAAUUCUUUCUUGUUCUUGUACGACCGUAGAUUUUAAUCCUUCUGUAAAUUUAUGGUUGAGACUUCAAAGGUGCUGAAAUAUUACUAUUUGUAACCCAUAGCAACUGUAAAAUACAAAGUGGGGGAACACAGACAUUAUGGGGCAUUGGGUCACUUCAAAUAUCUGUACGGGCUUGGCUAUCCCGUUUCUCUA